rnacentral:rRNA from 1 species
GACGUAGGGUGCGAGCGUUGUUCGGAAUUACUGGGCGUAAAGCGCACGUAGGCGGACUAUUAAGUCAGGGGUGAAAUCCCGGGGCUCAACCCCGGAACUGCCUUUGAUACUGGUAGUCUCGAGUCCGGAAGAGGUGAGUGGAAUUCCGAGUGUAGAGGUGAAAUUCGUAGAUAUUCGGAGGAACACCAGUGGCGAAGGCGGCUCACUGGUCCGGUACUGACGCUGAGGUGCGAAAGCGUGGGGAGCAAACAGG